UGGGCGUAAAGCGCACGCAGGCGGUCUGUCAAGUCGGAUGUGAAAUCCCCGGGCUCAACCUGGGAACUGCAUUCGAAACUGGCAGGCUAGAGUCUUGUAGAGGGGGGUAGAAUUCCAGGUGUAGCGGUGAAAUGCGUAGAGAUCUGGAGGAAUACCGGUGGCGAAGGCGGCCCCCUGGACAAAGACUGACGCUCAGGUGCGAAAGCGUGGGGAGCAAACAGGAUUAGAUACCCUGGUAGUCCACGCCGUAAACGAUGUCGAUUUGGAGGUUGUGCCCUUGAGGCGUGGCUUCCGGAGCUAACGCGUUAAAUCGACCGCCUGGGGAGUACGGCCGCAAGGUUAAAACUCAAAUGAAUUGACGGGGGCCCGCACAAGCGGUGGAGCAUGUGGUUUAAUUCGAUGCAACGCGAAGAACCUUACCUGGUCUUGACAUCCACAGAACUUUCCAGAGAUGGAUUGGUGCCUUCGGGAACUGUGAGACAGGUGCUGCAUGGCUGUCGUCAGCUCGUGUUGUGAAAUGUUGGGUUAAGUCCCGCAACGAGCGCAACCCUUAUCCUUUGUUGCCAGCGGUUCGGCCGGGAACUCAAAGGAGACUGCCAGUGAUAAACUGGAGGAAGGUGGGGAUGACGUCAAGUCAUCAUGGCCCUUACGACCAGGGCUACACACGUGCUACAAUGGCAUAUACAAAGAGAAGCGACCUCGCGAGAGCAAGCGGACCUCAUAAAGUAUGUCGUAGUCCGGAUUGGAGUCUGCAACUCGACUCCAUGAAGUCGGAAUCGCUAGUAAUCGUAGAUCAGAAUGCUACGGUGAAUACGUUCCCGGGCCUUGUACACACCGCCCGUCACACCAUGGGAGUGGGUUGCAAAAGAAGUAGGUAGCUUAACCUUCGGGAGGGCGCUUACCACUUUGUGAUUCAUGACUGGGGUGAAGUCGUAACAAGGUAACCGUAGGGGAACCUGCGGUUGGAUCACCU
rnacentral:rRNA from 1 species